rnacentral:rRNA from 1 species
UACAGAGGUGACUAACGUUGUCCGGAAUUAUUGGGCGUAAAGGGCGCGUAGGUGGUCAGGCAAGUCAGGUGUGAAAGCUCUGGGCUUAACCCAGGAAUUGCAUCUGAUACUGCUUGACUUGAGUACGGUAGAGGAGGGUGGAAUUCCCAGUGUAGCGGUGAAAUGCGUAGAUAUUGGGAGGAACACCGGUGGCGAAGGCGGCCCUCUGGACCGAAACUGACACUGAAGCGCGAAAGCUAGGGGAGCAAACGGG